CCCUACGGGGCGCAGCAGGCGCGAAAACUCUACAAUGCAGGCAACUGCGAUAGGGGAACAUCGAGUGGYUCYCAUAUUGGGGGUCUGUCCACCCGCCUAAAAAGCGGGUGUUAGCAAGGGCCGGGCAAGACCGGUGCCAGCCGCCGCGGUAAUACCGGCGGCUCGAGUGGUGGCCGAUAUUAUUGAGUCUAAAGGGUCCGUAGCCGGCUUUGCAAGUCUCUCGGGAAAUCCAGCGGCUUAACCGUUGGUCGUCUGGGGGCUACUACA
rnacentral:rRNA from 1 species